UGUAAUACCCGGCUAUAAUCCGGCAUCGGGAUUCCUGCCUUCCGGCGGAAUCUAGGGUGUUGGAUCUCUCUAGAAGGGUAAAAUGUGUUUUCUAAAAUGUUUUCACAUGAUUUCAUGGUUUUAAAUGAAAAUGAUUUGAGUUUUAAAAAGGAAAGACCAAGGAGGCAUUUGCCAGGUUCGGCCGCCGAAAGUGAAGUUCGGCCGCCGAACAUGGAAAGGCUUCGGGAGUGCUUUUGGCCUCCGAAAG
rnacentral:lncRNA from 1 species